rnacentral:misc_RNA from 1 species
GAUGAAGAACGCAGCGAAAUGCGAUACUUGGUGUGAAUUGCAGAAUCCCGUGAACCAUCGAGUCUUUGAACGCAAGUUGCGCCCGAAGCCAUUAGACCGAGGGCACGCCUGCCUGGGCGUCACACGUCGUUGCCCCCCCAUCUACUCCUUCGGGAUUGCGGGGGGCGGAUGAUGGCCUCCCGUGCGCCUCGUCGCGCGGUUGGCAUAAAUGCCAAGUCCUCGGCGACACACGCCACGACAAUCGGUGGUUGCGAAACCUCGGUUGCCCGUCGUGUGCGGUCGUCGCGCAUCGAGGGCUCGAAAAAAUUGCCGGGCUCCGGCUCGGCUUUCAACGCGACCCCAGGUCAGGCGGGGUUACCCGCUGAAUUUAAGCAUAUCAAUAAGCGGAGGA